GUCUAUGGCCAUGCUACCCUGAACAAGCCCGAUCCCGUCUGAUCUUGGAAGCUAAGCAGGGUCAGGCCCAGUUAGUACUUGGAUGGGAUACAGACCAGGUGCUGUAGGCG
rnacentral:rRNA from 1 species